rnacentral:rRNA from 1 species
UACAGAGGUCCCAAGCGUUGUUCGGAUUCAUUGGGCGUAAAGGGUGCGCAGGCGGUUGGGUGUGUCAGAUGUGAAAUCCCGAGGCUCAACCUCGGAACUGCGUCUGAAACUACUCGACUAGAGUACUGGAGAGGGUAACGGAAUUCACGGUGUAGCAGUGAAAUGCGUAGAUAUCGUGAGGAACACCAGAGGCGAAGGCGGUUACCUGGACAGUUACUGACGCUCAGGCACGAAAGCAUGGGGAGCAAAAGGG